rnacentral:sRNA from 1 species
AUUUUGUACGUAGACGUUUAGCACUACUAUACGUUUUUAAGAUUCCGAUUUAAAACACAUUUGCUACUAUAUUUGUAGCAACUAAAACCAACUCCAACCGUAGUUUUUUAGUAGAAACUCAUACAAUUACAAAAAAA